rnacentral:rRNA from 1 species
CCUACGGGAGACUGCAGUAGGGAAUAUUGCACAAUGGGGGAAACCCUGAAGCAGCAACGCCGCGUGGAGGAUGAAGGUUUUCGGAUUGUAAACUCCUUUUGUUAGAGAAGAUAAUGACGGUAUCUAACGAAUAAGCACCGGCUAACUCCGUGCCAGCAGCCGCGGUAAUACGGAGGGUGCAAGCGUUACUCGGAAUUACUGGGCGUAAAGAGCGCGCAGGCGGGAUAGCAAGUCAGAUGUGAAAUCCUAGGGCUGAACCAUAGAACUGCAUUUGAAACUGUUAUGCUAGAGUAUGGGAGAGGUAGGUGGAAUUCUUGGUGUAGGGGUGAAAUCCGUAGAGAUCAAGAGGAAUACUCAUGGCGAAGGCGACCUGCUAGAACAUAACUGACGCUGAGGCGCGAAAGCGUGGGGAGCAAACAGGAUUAGAUACCCCUGUAGUC